GAAGAGGAGGAGGAGGAGGGCGAUGAAGAUGGCGCAUACGAGGAUGAUGGAGGGGAAGAGACUAUGGAUGAGGCGGAGGAUGUAAGCAUGAAGGUAUUGAAUCACCAUCAAUAUGGAGGACAGAGCCAACAGUUGUGCGGAGGUGGAGUUGUGGAAGUUUCUAGAACAAGUGAGCUUACUCUUGCUUUUGAAGGUGAAGUCUAUGUUUUUCCUGCAGUCACUCCUGAUAAGGUGCAAGCAGUGCUCUUACUAUUGGAGGGAUGUGACAUUCCUACUGCUGUGCCCACUGUUGAACUUCCAUUCGACAACAAGGUUGAGGAUUUGCCAAAGCAAGCUAAUCUUUCGAAAAG
rnacentral:misc_RNA from 1 species